GUCCUAUUUGCUGCAACCACUCUCAAUAUAAAUAAAUACGCUCUCCUCUCUUACUGGAAAGAAAAAAAAAAAGCGCUCUCCUCACAUUCCAUGGGCUAGUAAGAAUUUGUUUCCAAACUUCGAUGCUGCUUAUAAUCAAAUCUAUUAUCUUUUAUUAUUAUUAUCAAUUGUUUUAGAUAUGAUAGGUAAUAGUAGCCGUUAACGCAAUCUCUGGUC
rnacentral:lncRNA from 1 species